rnacentral:ribozyme from 1 species
AAAAUACAUCAAUGCGCAAAUCGGCCACUUAUCUGUGUUGAUCUGGAAAUCAAAUUGAUAUUAUUUUUUUCCGUCGCUUGAGCACUUUGCUUUGUUUUCCUUUCCACUGCAUGGUGGAAACUUAUUUAAAU